CUUCUGGUUUUCCUUCUGUUCUUUUCUCAAUUUUUCCCCCUGAACCCUAUCUCUAACCCCCUCUGUUCUUUCCAUAUCCCCUUCACUGAAGAAAAGCAAAAUCCUCAUAACAAUAUGCAUAGUCAAAUGUAAUGGGAGUCUGGCACAUGUACAGAUCCCAUCAGCUUGCUCAGAUGGCAUCUCCACAUGGAGGAUGCUAGAGAACAGAUGACGCCUUUACAUGGAGGGUAUGAGGGAGCUGCUGCCAGGAGAAUCAAGAUGACAUAAGGGAAGUGUCUUGGAGACAUUGGAGAAUGUAUGGAUAUUCUGGUUUCAAUUGAUUAAGUAUAUGGGAGGAGUUGGCAUCUUCAAAAAGGCUUGAGUCAACUUUGACUGUAUUUCUGCUACUCUUUCUGGUAGGUGACAGUGUCCAGUGAAUUACUAUGUGUGGAAGAGGCAUGAAGAGAGAAAGGUAUUGAAGGAUAAGCCAAGAUGCAAGAGACUCUUCGUCUUUAAGAGGAAGGGCUGCAGGGACCUUCCCCUCAUUCCCAUAUGAUCCCUAAACAAAUGGGGCUUCCUUUCUUUCAUCUUUUUUCUUUCAUUCUAGAUGCUAUGAGUGGAGCAUCUGACCUUUGGAAUUUCAAAGGCCAGGAGAGCCAUAGGAAUCUGGGAGUCAGAAUCCAGGCCAUAUUUUGCAACCAGUAUAGCACUGAUGUUCCAAGGAGCAAGCAGCAAGGAGACAUUUUCAGGAGUGACAUCCAGGAUUCCAGCCCAAUAGAAGAACUUAUCUCACAUAAUGCCUCUUGGUAACCGAGGAUGACAAUUGUUUUUUGUGCGUUUUUGUGCACAAAAACGCUUGUACAUGAAGAUUUAAGUGGAAAAGUCGAUGCACAGAAACAGUCCCACUCUCUCGGCAUUGGAAGCCUGGGUCCAUUGGCACGAAAAGUCGUUACAUCUGGAGACUUCCUCAGCUGCAUUGGAUGGCUGUGUUGUCUUUUGUGCUCCAACACGCCCUAAGCACUCCACAGUGCCUUGCUGCAUCGCCAUCUCAGCCGUUGAACCUUCUUGUUGGUUUCUUCUGCCUGUUCCGCUGAAACAGUCUUCACAUGCUGGGUGAGCAUAUUCCUUAUUCCUUAAGUAAAUUAUCAUAAUAUCUAUGAAAAUCAAAUUUUUUUCUUCUUUGUGUUUGUGCUUAUCCUCUCAAUUUCUAUUUAUUAUAUUAUAGAAAUAGCUAAGAGAACUGGCCUUGGAACCAGGAAGAACUUGAUUCAUGUUCUUCCUCUGACAUAUACUCAUUUUGUGACCAUGAACAAAUCACUUAACCUCCGACUAGUCUAGGU
rnacentral:lncRNA from 1 species